rnacentral:rRNA from 1 species
AUUGAACGCUGGCGGCAUGCUUUACACAUGCAAGUCGAACGGUAACAGGCCUUCGGGUGCUGACGAGUGGCGCACGGGUGAGUAAUGCAUCGGAACGUACCCAGAGGUGGGGGAUAACGCAGCGAAAGCUGUGCUAAUACCGCAUGUGAUCUGAGGAUGAAAGCGGGGGACCGCGCAGCAAUGUUUGGCCUCGCGCCUUUGGAGCGGCCGAUGUCGGAUUAGCUAGUUGGCGGGGUAAAGGCCUACCAAGGCGACGAUCCGUAGCUGGUCUGAGAGGACGGCCAAGCAGACUGUGUGUGAGAAUCAGCCCAGACACUGGCAGUGAGCCGCUGUGGGGAAUUCUAGACGAGGCAGGCGAGGGUAAUCCAGCAAUGCGGCGUGAGGGAUGAAGGAGUCAGGGUGGGUGACUGCUGAUGGCAGUAGCAAAGCAGUGUUCUCUAAUACCGGACGAUAAUGACGGUACCUGCAGAAGAAGCACCGGCUAACUACGUG